rnacentral:misc_RNA from 1 species
GAUGAAGAACGUAGCGAAAUGCGAUAAGUAAUGUGAAUUGCAGAAUUCAGUGAAUCAUCGAAUCUUUGAACGCACAUUGCGCCCGCCAGUAUUCUGGCGGGCAUGCCUGUCUGAGCGUCAUUUCAACCCUCAUGCCCCUAGGGCGUGGUGUUGGGGAUCGGCGGAAGCCCCCUGCGGGCACAACGCCGUCCCCCAAAUACAGUGGCGGUCCCGCCGCAGCUUCCAUUGCGUAGUAGCUAACACCUCGCAACUGGAGAGCGGCGCGGCCACGCCGUAAAACACCCAACUUCUGAAUGUUGACCUCGAAUCAGGUAGGAAUACCCGCUGAACUUAAGCAUAUCAAUAAGCGGAGGA